rnacentral:rRNA from 1 species
GGCGGCAGGCUUAACACAUGCAAGUCGAGCGGGCGUAGCAAUACGUCAGCGGCAGACGGGUGAGUAACGCGUGGGAACAUACCUUUUGGUUCGGAACAACACAGGGAAACUUGUGCUAAUACCGGAUAAGCCCUUACGGGGAAAGAUUUAUCGCCGAAAGAUUGGCCCGCGUCUGAUUAGCUAGUUGGUGAGGUAACGGCUCACCAAGGCGACGAUCAGUAGCUGGUCUGAGAGGAUGAUCAGCCACAUUGGGACUGAGACACGGCCCAAACUCCUACGGGAGGCAGCAGUGGGGAAUAUUGGACAAUGGGCGCAAGCCUGAUCCAGCCAUGCCGCGUGAGUGAUGAAGGCCCUAGGGUUGUNAAGCUCUUUUGUGCGGGAAGAUAAUGACGGUACCGCAAGAAUAAGCCCCGGCUAACUUCGUGCCAGCAGCCGCGGUAAUACNAAGGGGGCUAGCGUUGCUCGGAAUCACUGGGCGU